AGAUAGAGUCAGGGAUUUAAUACAAAGCAGCUGGUGAAGAACACCUAUUUGAAAAGCACCCCACCCAUGGGAUAUUCGCACUGCUAUCAUUUCCAUGGGUGAUGGUGAUUCGUUAAAUUCAACUCAAAGUCAGAACAUAUUUCCACCAUAAGAAUCUUGAAUGGUUAUUUUAGAGUGCCUUAGGAGUCCCUUAGAAAUGUUAAUACCACACUAAGAGCCAGGGAAGAGCCAUUAACAGACUGAGAAUUGGAACUGCAAAGUGAAAAUGAGAUGUCAUCUACAUAGGAUGAAACGAAGCAAGGAGAACUCUGAAGGACAACUUGGCUGAGAAAUAAUGGCUGUAGCCUGUGAGGGAGAGCUGAACCAAGUUAACAAUAAAGGUACAUAUGGAAGAACACUGUAAGGACAGUCACUGACUUAUGUGAUUGACUCCAUGGUGUGGUGACAAAGCACCAAGCAGGCUUUAUAUGAAUCUCAACCCAGAUGACGAAGAUAAUGGAGAAGAGAGGAAGAUCAGAUACUAAAACAGGUCAGGAAAAGUGGAGCUUCACAUUCAUUUGGGAGACAUCGUGAUCAUGUCACCUGAGGAUGGAUUACAACACUGGCGGUAACCCUGAAAAUAAACUUCAACAGAUUCACAGAACUGUAAAUAUUAAAAGCAAUAUCUAGACAUUCCAGAGUUAGAAAGCAGUGAUGUUAAAUCAAUAGACAAAUUAAAAUAUAACUAUACAGCUGACAUCAAUAUUAGAGAAUGAAAAAGAAAAUAAACUAAAGUAACAAGCUUAUUAAAUGAGCUUUGAAUAUA